UAGAGACAUGUUAUGAACAUUUUUUGUCUACAGUUGUGUUUAUCUAAGGUGAUUUCAAUGAUAAGAGCUUCUGUUCAGUGGGAAACAAUUCCAGCUGCAUUUGAACUGGCAUCUAACCCUUCUGAAACAUCAUUUGAAGCCAGGUGGGAUCUCCAAGAGCACCUCUGGGACAGCUCAAAACGCCUCAAUUUACAGAACUGACUUUGUGCACUUAUGAAAGGAGGUUGCUACACAUUUAUUUGUGUCUCAGCCCUUCCAGAGCUGCAGCAGCCCCAGCAAUGUCCAUGAACACCUGCCACUUUCACACUCUGGAGAGAAAGUACCGAGGAUGUUGCGAGGCCUUGAAUGGGAAGAGUGAUUUUGCACCUCCAGGCCAAACAGCUGUGUUACCCCAGCACUGCCAUUUAGUCAGCAUUUAUCUUAUUUUCUUACAUGAAAGCAAUGCUUAGGAUCUAAAUAGAAUUCUUCAUCUCCAAAGAGUUAAACAAACCUUGGUAAUUAAUCCAUACAGAAUCCUGCAAAGAUGCUUUCUUUUCAAAUGCAAA